GAUGAACGCUGGCGGCGUGCCUAAUACAUGCAAGUCGAGCGAACAGACGAGGAGCUUGCUCCUCUGACGUUAGCGGCGGACGGGUGAGUAACACGUGGAUAACCUACCUAUAAGACUGGGAUAACUUCGGGAAACCGGAGCUAAUACCGGAUAAUAUAUUGAACCGCAUGGUUCAAUAGUGAAAGACGGUUUUGCUGUCACUUAUAGAUGGAUCCGCGCCGCAUUAGCUAGUUGGUAAGGUAACGGCUUACCAAGGCAACGAUGCGUAGCCGACCUGAGAGAGUGAGCGGCCACACUGGAACUGAGACACGGUCCAGACUCCUACGGGAGGCAGCAGUAGGGAAUCUUCCGCAAUGGGCGAAAGCCUGACGGAGCAACGCCGCGUGAGUGAUGAAGGUCUUCGGAUCGUAAAACUCUGUUAUUAGGGAAGAACAAAUGUGUAAGUAACUAUGCACGUCUUGACGGUACCUAAUCAGAAAGCCACGGCUAACUACGUG
rnacentral:rRNA from 1 species